AUGUACGCGCCGAGGCAACGAGGCGUUGAGUCCACGAGCACUAACAGACCGAAGC
rnacentral:rRNA from 1 species